rnacentral:rRNA from 1 species
AUGGUGGCGGUGGGGCCUCGGUUGCCCUGCCUCUGCGUGGGGAACCCCGGAUCUGGAGCGGCAACUCCAUUGGCAAGGCACGACCGGCUAGCAGCCGUGCGGGCGGUGGAUCUGGCGUCCCGGCCGCGCGGGCGGCGGGAUCCGGUGGUCGUUGGCGGCCGGCGGCGGUUUCUGCGGUGGCCGGUGCGCGCGAUCUGGCGCCUCCCCUCCUCCCCUGAUCGGCGUGCGGGCCAGCCUCGUCGGGCCGCGCUUCCUUGGGUCACCGGUUCUGUACAGGAGGCUCUGCUGGUGGCGGGGAUCUAG